UACGGGGGGGGGAAGCGUUGUUCGGAAUUACUGGGCGUAAAGGGCUCGUAGGCGGCCAACUAAGUCAGACGUGAAAUCCCUCAGCUUAACUGGGGAACUGCGUCUGAUACUGGAUGGCUUGGAUCCGGGAGAGGGAUGCGGAAUUCCAGGUGUAGCGGUGAAAUGCGUAGAUAUCUGGAGGAACACCGGUGGCGAAGGCGGCAUCCUGGACCGGUAUUGACGCUGAGGAGCGAAAGCCAGGGGAGCAAACGGG
rnacentral:rRNA from 1 species